ACAAAAUCAAAAAUGUCAAAACGUAUCACAAAGGAAGUUUCUAAUUGAAUUUUUAAUUACAAAAUAGACACGCACGAGUGAUCUUUUAAAAUUGAUCAAUUUAAGCGUUCCGGUAAUCCAUUAACUUAAUUCACCUGCAAUCAAAUAUGCUUCAGGACUAGAGAAAUGUAAAAUACGAUGAAUAUAUUGAAACGGAAGGAGGCUUUAGCAAAAAUAGAAUCAAGAUGUGGUUCCAUGUCUUCCGAGACGAAGAAUUUUAUCCAAAAGAUUUGUUACAAAAAGUCUGCGUCCAUAGAUAUGACUCGUUAUGGAUUUAUUAGAGAUAGUAAAGUAAGACCAAUUAAUUUGAUGAUGAGACCGCUAAAGGAACAACUGGAAAGGAUAUGGGGAAAAUCUACCCGAAUUCCCAACAUCCGGAAACAAUCUCCUUCCAGACGCAACGAACGAGCUGUUUCCACAACAAAGACUGGAAAAACAGCAACAAAUCAGACUAAAGCUAUAAAAAAAAGCAACGAACAUACUAGUAAUUAUUCACGAAUUCACGACUUAAUUAACUGUAAAGAUAAAAGAAGGCUGUAAUAAUCCAUGGUGUGUGGCUAUUUUGUAACUAACGAUAAAACUUUUAAAAAUAAAGUAAUAACGAUUAGUUCAUUUGAGGUAUUCCUUUCUCAGACCUUGAAUUUCUGUCUAAAAAACUCACUAAUUGCAUUUAAAACAAACUGUUACUAUUGUUAUUGAUCUGUUUAUUCAUCAUUACAAUUACAGUUGCCGCUGAUAUUUCCAGUGCAUCCGAAUUGAUUAAAAGCUGGCGGGAAGUGGCACGAACACUUCGUUUGACCUUUAUCUUCUGGACAUGCACAUGAGGCAAUGUCCUGAUUUUUAACUUUAGCACGGUCGGCAGGCAUUGGGUGUCCUUUAACAGGGGUUUCAAUUUCAGGUGCAGGCACUUCAGGCAGUUUGAAACUUGUGCGUCUACGAACAUCUAUUACACUAGUGUUCUUUCCUGGGGGUGUACAGCAUUUUGAAGCACUGUCUGGAGAACAGAUGGGCGUUGGUGCACCAGCUUUGUCGCCAGGCAUUCCAGUUCCAGCUGCAGUGGUGUUAGGUAUUGGAUGUGUUCCAGCGUCGAUCACAGCAGCCAUACUUCUAGUUUGCAUCAUCGCAUCAGCAUCUUCGCAGCAUGAUAUAAUUUUGUCGGGUGGAGUUCUACUGGGACUAGUUUUCGAAGUCUUUUCUUUAGUUCUCGUUGGGGAGCUUGGUGGAGAUUUUGAAGGUGAUUUCACUGGAGAUCCAACUGACUGGUUAGGGGAUAUCGCUUUAACCGCGCAACAAGAGGACACGUCCAUUAAGCUGUUGGAUUGUUUGACUGUACUCAGGGGGAUCCCACCAGGACAAUGACCGCUAGAAGGUGUGGACUCAUUCUGCUUUUCCUUGGCCAACGUUGUUCUGCUGAUUGAAACCACCUUCGGCUGAGUUUUGGCAAUACCACUGUGGCAACUUCCUGUGCAUUGAUUUCCUGCAUCCUUAUUUUCCUUAAGUCCAAAGGGGCAAAAUUCUGGUAAGGUUUUCAAACAGUUUUCAGAGUUACUGCAGGUUUGUGAAGUACAGUAAAUUUCUCUGUAUGAAGCUACCUCAGAGAGGUUUUCAGAGUUUGGAGUCGGCGUCCGUGAGCAUGGCUGUGAUGAGCAUACUGUGCUACGUGAUGGCUGCUUGGAAGCAGGAAUAUCCAUGCUUUGAAUACAUGGUCGGUGGGAUGGCUUUUCUGCUCCACAUUUCUUGUCUUGACCUCGUGGCAUGAGAUAAAAUGUGUGGUAUAGAUUUUUGUCUUGGUUCUAUUAUUUCAUAAUUUAUUUAUAUUUGCCAACUUUUAUGCAUUUCAUUUUAUUUUAUUAACCAUUUCAAAGGUUUUUCAGAUUCAUUACAAUUGUCAGCAAGUUCGCACGACAUUUUUGUCAUUUUGACUUCUGAAC